UACGUAGGGGGCAAGCGUUGUCCGGAUUUAUUGGGCGUAAAGAGCGUGUAGGCGGCCAGGUAGGUCUGCUGUGAAAACUCGAGGCUCAACCUCGAGAUGUCGGCGGAAACCAUCUGGCUAGAGUCCGGAAGAGGAGAAUGGAAUUCCCGGUGUAGCGGUGAAAUGCGCAGAUAUCAGGAGGAACACCGGUGGCGAAGGCGGAUCUCUGGGCCUGUCCUGACGCUGAGGCGCGAAAGCGUGGGGAGCGAACAGG
rnacentral:rRNA from 1 species